ACUCCCAAACCUCAACUACCGAUCCUAAAAGGGUGGUCAAGGGGUCAGAAGGCCAACUACCACCGCCGGCCACUCCAAGGCUGUGCCGGCGGCGUCCUCCAUCAUCGACCCUUUUUGCUGCCCAUGAUCAACUCCACGAGGUCUACCACAAGCCUGCAUCGAGCAGGCGAUUAUGUCCAAUCCAAUUACCUGUAAGUGCAUCUCCUAAAAAUUUCUCUGUAUAAACGUCAAUUAGGUGCCCUAAGUAUGAUCAGCACAUGUUAAUGUUUUCCUAAUGACGAACUAAACCUAACACUUACGUACCUUAGUAUGGUGUUAUAAGCCAAGGCGGCACUGAUGGCGACCAUGGGCGAGCAAUGGCUUCCUCCGCUCAGACGACAACAAGGACCACGACUCGUGGAUUUUCCUGUUACCACUUGUCUUGAAUAUGGAGCGUGCUUUAUAGCUUAAUUGGCAGCAGGUUCAGGAAGACUUCCUCCACUCGGGCGCUGGGUACAAGAACAACUGCAAUCGAUAGGGCAAACACCCUAGCUACCUUAUUAUGGUGUUAGAGGCCAAGGCGGCAGUGAUGGCGAGGAUGGGCGUCCAGUAGCAGCGGCUUCCACUGCUCAGAUGAUGAAUUUUAUUGUUGCCACUUGCCCUGAAUAUGGAGCGUUCCUGUUACCUGAUGAAUAAUGGGCGGCAGCUUCAGGACGACUUCCUCCACUCGGAGGCUGGGGACAAGAACCACUGCAAUGGAUAGAUUGGAGAUGCUUUGGCUGUCUGAUGCAUGACUGGAGGGUGGAAGAAUAAGAAGUGAAAGCUGAACUCCUCUUGUUUGCGAAACCAGAAUUUGUAUUUGGUAGUCUGACUGACUGCUUACUGUGACUCCAAAUCUGGAAUGUUCCAGACCGGUUGUUUCAUUGCCAGAAGUUGUAAUGAUGUGCAAUGUUUGUUUAGCUAGACUUGUGAUGGGAGUAGGCUUGUGCUGUUGCACUUUUAUUGA